rnacentral:rRNA from 1 species
UACGUAGGGCGCAAGCGUUGUCCGGAAUUAUUGGGCGUAAAGAGCUCGUAGGCGGUUUGUCGCGUCUGCUGUGAAAACUCGGGGCUUAACUCCGGGCCUGCAGUGGGUACGGGCAGACUUGAGUACUGCAGGGGAGACUGGAAUUCCUGGUGUAGCGGUGGAAUGCGCAGAUAUCAGGAGGAACACCGGUGGCGAAGGCGGGUCUCUGGGCAGUAACUGACGCUGAGGAGCGAAAGCAUGGGGAGCGAACAGG